CCUACGGGUGGCAGCAGUGAGGAAUAUUGGUCAAUGGGCGAGAGCCUGAACCAGCCAAGUCGCGUGAGGGAGUACUGCCCUAUGGGUUGUAAACCUCUUUUGUCGGGGAGCAAAAGCCGGACGUGUCCGGCUGUGAGAGUACCCGAAGAAAAAGCAUCGGCUAACUCCGUGCCAGCAGCCGCGGUAAUACGGAGGAUGCGAGCGUUAUCCGGAUUUAUUGGGUUUAAAGGGUGCGCAGGCGGAUUUUUAAGUCAGCGGUCAAAUCGUGGGGCUCAACCCCAUCCAGCCGUUGAAACUGGACGCCUUGAGUUCACAACAGGCAGGCGGAAUUCGUGGUGUAGCGGUGAAAUGCAUAGAUAUCACGAGGAACCCCGAUUGCGAAGGCAGCCUGCCGGGGUGCGACUGACGCUGAGGCUCGAAGGUGCGGGUAUCAAACAGGAUUAGAUACCCGUGUAGUC
rnacentral:rRNA from 1 species